AUUCGCGGAUACUCGCGCAUCUCUGCACGCGCAUUCAGCCUGUUCAAUACAUCUCCUCACUCGUCCAGCUUCCAGCAGAUGGCGAGGGACAGGGAUAAAGCGUCGGAGUUGCGCAGAACGCGCGUUACAUCCGCCACCACCCUCUACUUUCAACCCCUUUCGCGCCGCAAGGGGGUGGAUACGGCCGCGUUACGGUUUUAUGAACGUUAACAAUUGGUAACGCGAUUCAUUCAGUGAAACGUCUGAAACGUAUCGAAUCUACUUCCCUCUAAUCAAGACAAAUCUUCACCCCCUCGUCGUUCUUGUACAUCUCUGAUUGUAUCUCGUGGUUGAAUGGAUAAUGCAAAUCCAAUUAGUUGAUUGGAAACAGUCACAGUAUUUAUACUUUGAUUAUUGAAAAGAAAUUAUCUGGAUGCUUUCGUAGAAUUUUAUGCAAAAUAUAUUUUCUCCUUUGAAACUCGAACAUUAUCAUUUCGUAUGAAAAUUUUAUUCAAAAGGUAGGUGGAAUGAUGAAGAUAACUGAAACGGUGUUUCGUUCUUCGUGCAAUAGCAGCGUUCGUUUCUCCGGAAUAGAAUUAUCGAAAUAAUAUACAUACGACAGUAUUCUGGAUUCAGUCUCGUUUCGAUAGAAAGUUCACAGGAAACGGUAACUCGGUAACAAUUCGCGAUCGUUUUCAGGAAGCUGUUCUCCACUAGUAGUUUUAAGCAGCCGCCGGAGUCUUCUCGAUUACAGAUAUUUUCGCAGCCCUCUCGAGGAAGCGUUGCCUUUUUGCAGUUAUCCGCUCCGCACGCGAAAACCGAACACUUCCCAUAAGCGUGCUCAGUCACGAAAGUCGGCAACACCUGCAGCCACUUUCUAGCCCGUUAACACAUCAUCCUAUAACCAAUUUAACUGGACAGUCGCCUGCAACCACGAUUUUCCCUGCUCUUGCAACGCCGUUUAAUCAAAUUGAACUCAACUACUUAAUGUAACCGUUUGUAAAUGAAGAUGGGAUUAAGAAUAAGAUGUUCUCGCGUGACUUCGGUUAGAAUUUCCUGAAAAUUGGUAAUCCCUCUGUUCGAUCGUAGUACGAUUUGCAUGAUAAAACGCAGCGCGUUUAAAUCGCGCAUGCGGUACCCCGUGAAAUAAUGAAAGGUGCGCUCGAGAGACGUGGGCAGUAGCCAGGGGAUCAGUUUUCAACGGACAAAACUCAAUGCAACGGUGCUUGUUAGCCACGACUACGCCGAAGCAGUUCGCUGUAUUCGAGCCAGUGACAGGGUGAACAACGACUUGCGGGUUAUUCAUUGGCGGGUGUGUAUAUCCUUGUUUGAACGCAACUGUCGAGACGAGAUUGACGGAGUGGUAGUAACCCGGUAGCUGGGAAUGGGAGUGGCUGAAAGACGGGAGGAUAGCUCGCUCAGUGACAUCCCUCUGGCAUCUCUGCAGAUCCUUCGACUGUGGACAUGAGAAAGUCUCGGAUUCUGUUCGUGGCGAAGAAGGUACGCGAUACACCUCUCCUACCUAAGAAGAAGAAGAAGCGAAAGCAGCAUCAAAGAUCGGCAGAUGACAAGGUAGCUGAUUAGAUUCGGUCGUCUCUGAAAGAGCAUCGCCGAUGCCCGGGACCGUCACGGGUUUCGAAUCGGCAUUCAACCGAUUUCCGCGCACCUUGGAAACGGUGAUUUCGCUACGGCAAACACCAAGUCGGUGAAGUACGCAGUAGGUCUUAAGCUCUUUCAGACCUCGGGAAAGCUGAGCCGCUAGUUACCAGAUGCGAUCCGCUCGUGAUCCGGCCGGGUUUCCCGAUUUUUCACGGUUUCCGAUAGAAACUUCGCGUCUUUGUAGCGACCCGGACACAUGUGAUCGUUGGUUUGAAGUAUCGUUCGCCGAGAAUGGACGCUAGAUUCGUGGAUCUGCGAAUGGAGGGUGGUUGCCCUUUCAAACGAAAAACCCCGUGAAAAUCUACCGUUCCACUUACUUUCUGCGCUUCCGUUACGCGAUUUUAAAGUUACUAUAAUUUAUUGCCUGGGAAGGUUAAUGAUUUACUUUAUUAUAUUUACUAGAUGAAAUUCAAUUGGAUGAUCUAUAAAGAAAUAUGUACUUUAAGUACGAUUUAUUGAGUCUCAUAAAAAAUAAUACAAUAAUGCACAAGACACAAUUUGUUUAGCUGACGGAAGUUUUUAUUAGUCAAAUUCUUUAUAUUCUCCAAGUGUUCGUGACUCUUUCAACUCUGAACCGAUCAAAUACCGUGUAAAUAUAUAAUGAGAUAACGUGGACACAGCGGUCAGCGAAAUUUUAAUGAAAUUCAAGGCUGUGGCUAUUUUUAACAGGCACAACGGUCGCAGCUGCCUCUUCUUAACGAAGGGACAUUGUAAAACGCAGGAUAGACCGCGGCUUCGUGGGCGGAGAAGUCCGCAAAAGCCGCAUCGGUCUCCGUGAAAUCGACGAUUCGACGCGGCGACGGAUUUCUAUGUGGCUUCUUUGCCCUAUGGUCGCGCGACUUUACCGAACACGAGGAUAUGCCUUUAAGUAGUCAAAAAAUAAUUGCCCGGACGUACCAAUCCUUCAUUGAUCUUCUGCAUCCAGGGAAACUCGACGAAACUUUUUCAAGCCGAAAGCUCGCCGUUGCGCGUUGCCGAUUUGACUCGGUCAACCUUUGACUUCCUUCUCAGAGCACCACCGCUGCUGCACAUGCCGUCACGUCGUCGAAGAUAAUCUUCUAGUUCUCAGCAAUUUUUACACGUUUGAGAACUUCAUAAUUGUUUCUUUUUUUAUUUAAUUUUCUCAUAGGCCAA